rnacentral:rRNA from 1 species
GACGAACGCUGGCGGCGUGCUUAACACAUGCAAGUCGAACGGAAAGGCCCUGCAUUUGUGGGGUGCUCGAGUGGCGAACGGGUGAGUAACACGUGAGUAACCUGCCCUUGACUUUGGGAUAACUUCAGGAAACUGGGGCUAAUACCGGAUAGGAGCUCCUGCUGCAUGGUGGGGGUUGGAAAGUUUCGGCGGUUGGGGAUGGACUCGCGGCUUAUCAGCUUGUUGGUGGGGUAGUGGCUUACCAAGGCUUUGACGGGUAGCCGGCCUGGGAGGGUGACCGGCCACAUUGGGACUGAGAUACGGCCCAGACUCCUACGGGAGGCAGCAGUGGGGAAUAUUGCACAAUGGGCGGAAGCCUGAUGCAGCAACGCCGCGUGCGGGAUGACGGCCUUCGGGUUGUAAACCGCUUUCGCCUGUGACGAAGCGUGAGUGACGGUAAUGGGUAAAGAAGCACCAGCUAACUACGUG